UACGUAGGGUGCGAGCGUUGUCCGGAAUUACUGGGCGUAAAGAGCUCGUAGGUGGUUUGUCGCGUCGUCUGUGAAAUUCCGGGGCUUAACUCCGGGCGUGCAGGCGAUACGGGUAUAACUUGAGUACUGUAGGGGAGACUGGAAUUCCUGGUGUAGCGGUGAAAUGCGCAGAUAUCAGGAGGAACACCGAAGGCGAAGGCAGGGCUCUGGGCAGUUACUGACGCUGAGGCGCGAAAGCAUGGGUAGCGAACAGG
rnacentral:rRNA from 1 species